rnacentral:rRNA from 1 species
GGACGAACGCUGGCGGCGUGCCUAACACAUGCAAGUCGAACGAGGUCCAGGGAAGCUUGCUUCCUGAAGACCUAGUGGCGAACGGGUGAGUAACACGUGAGAAACCUGCCUCGGAGUGGGGAAUAACUCGGGGAAACUCGAGCUAAUACCGCAUACCUUCACAUGAUCGCAUGGUCGAGUGAAGAAAGAAUUUCGCUCUGAGAGGGUCUCGCGGCCUAUCAGCUUGUUGGUGGGUAACGGCCUACCAAGGCAACGACGGGUAGCUGGUUUGAGAGAACGAUCAGCCACACUGGGACUGAGACACGGCCCAGACUCCUACGGGAGGCAGCAGUGGGGAAUCUUGCGCAAUGGGCGAAAGCCUGACGCAGCAACGCCGCGUGCGGGAUGACGGCCUUCGUGGUUGUAAACCGCUUUCAGCAGGGACGAAAAUGACGGUACCUGCAGAAGAAGCCCCGGCUAACUACGUG